rnacentral:rRNA from 1 species
CUUGCUCCUUUGACGUUAGCGGCGGACGGGUGAGUAACACGUGGGUAACCUACCUAUAAGACUGGGAUAACUUCGGGAAACCGGAGCUAAUACCGGAUAAUAUUUCGAACCGCAUGGUUCGAUAGUGAAAGAUGGUUUUGCUAUCACUUAUAGAUGGACCCGCGCCGUAUUAGCUAGUUGGUAAGGUAACGGCUUACCAAGGCGACGAUACGUAGCCGACCUGAGAGGGUGAUCGGCCACACUGGAACUGAGACACGGUCCAGACUCCUACGGGAGGCAGCAGUAGGGAAUCUUCCGCAAUGGGCGAAAGCCUGACGGAGCAACGCCGCGUGAGUGAUGAAGGUCUUCGGAUCGUAAAACUCUGUUAUUAGGGAAGAACAUACGUGUAAGUAACUAUGCACGUCUUGACGGUACCUAAUCAGAAAGCCACGGCUAACUACGUGCCAGCAGCCGCGGUAAUACGUAGGUGGCAAGCGUUAUCCGGAAUUAUUGGGCGUAAAGCGCGCGUAGGCGGUUUUUUAAGUCUGAUGUGAAAGCCCACGGCUCAACCGUGGAGGGUCAUUGGAAACUGGAAAACUUGAGUGCAGAAGAGGAAAGUGGAAUUCCAUGUGUAGCGGUGAAAUGCGCAGAGAUAUGGAGGAACACCAGUGGCGAAGGCGACUUUCUGGUCUGUAACUGACGCUGAUGUG